GUCGACUUUAACCGCUUGUUUCUUGUUGCUUUUUGCCAUUUAUAACGAUUUUUGUGUGUAUUUUAAGACUUUGUGCCCACAACGAAAGCGGUAAACGAGUAUAUUAUAAAAGCGACCGGUUUUUCUCCCGUUUUUGUGUGGAAAAAAUGACAACGUAGCGAUGGUGUUUAUCCAGAAGCGAAAAACAGUAUUUUACUGAGAUUUUAACGUCAAUAUAAAGGUUUAUUCUGUGAAGAAUCAAGACAACUAUGGAAUGGAAGUAUAAUUUUCGAAUUUGACAUAAAUAUGAAAGAAAAUAACAGUAAAAAAUCACAAGAGAACGUCAAAUGUUAUUGAUUCGUACGGAAAAAUAUGAACUAUCGCUGUGGCUCGAUAACAAUCUGCAAGCAGCUUACAAGUUUAAA